rnacentral:rRNA from 1 species
GGAUCAAUUUACUGGUCGUGCUAUUGUACGUACUGGUUUUAUUGAUUCCUCUCUUCUGAAGAACUAUGAUGUCAUUAAUUUGGUGUCAUAGGGAAUCAGGACUGUUACUUUGAAAAAAUUAGAGUGUUUAAAGCAGGCUUACGCUUGAAUACAUUAGCAUGGAAUAAUAGAAUAGGACUU